UGACCCUGGGCUCAUGACCCAAACAGAAAUCAAGAAUGGGAUUCUCAACCAACUGAGCCACCCAGGCACUGCUGGAUUCAACUUCUUUAACAGAUGUUUGACUGUGAAUCAUUAUCAAUUAUGUUGUUGAGAGAUGUAUCUUCAAUUAUUCCAGAAGUCUCUCCAAUGCCCAAGUUAUAGAUGAUGGACAAAUGACAGAAUGACAACCUUUCCUCCCCAUGACUUACAGGAAGCUGACUGACUAACCCAUGGCAUCUAGAGGCCCCAGCUUAAGACCAACCAGAGAAAGCCGAGUAUGCAGCCUAAGCAAUCACACAGGAUGCAACAAUUCUAGUCAGCCUGCCUCCCGCUUCCCUUUGCCAACAGCCUCCAAUCAGGGAGCCCCUGAACCUUCCCUCUUUCCUCCUGUAUUUGAGGCUCUGAAAAAUGCAAGUGAUGGAAACGGACUCCUAUGCUGUAGCAAGCUCUGAAUAAAUAGUCUUUGCUUUUCUCCUUUAA